CUCCCUCGCGCUGUCACCACCCGGACCACAAUCUCUCCAUUACUAUGGAGAUCACCAGACUAAAUCACCCCAUUCACUUAACCCUCUUGAUCGCCAACCACAAUCUCUACUUCAUGCUUAGUGGUGGAGGAGACUCAAACCUCAAACCUCAAACUCUGAUCUGUGAGGGAGUGUUAUACCAACUCCCCAAUGUGGAGAUGGUACUAAUUUAGCAUUUCAAGCACAGAGGUUGAUCAAGCAUAUUCAAAAUUUGAAUCUUGUCAUCUACGCAGACACUAGAUUAUAGUUUAAAGCUGUAGGAGAUUUUGGUUGAGAGGAACCCAUCCGUGAUUCAAGAGACAUCAUGCAUCGAGCAAAAGCUAAGAAAAAAUCCAAGACAAAGAAAUCUUUGGAAGCAAAUGCAGCUAAGGAUCUUCCAAGUCAAGUCGCAUGGGAAGGAUGGUUCAGACCACAUCAAUCGUCCUCACAAAGUCCACAAGAGAUGAACCAACCUAUUCUUGCGCGAAUGCCAAACUAUGAAGAUGAAGAAACACAAGAUCCUACUAUGUCAGCUGAAGAAAAUCAUGAUGAUAUUACCCCUGAAAUACAGAAAAACAAACGCCGAAGAGGUCCUAACAAAGAAAUACCCGCACCGGCAAAUCCAAAUGAGAGAAUGUUGGUUAAUAUUUUACAUGAUGAGAAAUUUGUAGACCCUAAAAUUGUUAGAACAAUUACAAAGUGUAUCCAAUUACACUUCAACGAUGCAUGGCCAACAUGGAAGAAAGUUGCUGAAGCUAUCAAAGAUGAGAUGUGGGCAAAAUUUGAGGGAAAAUUUAUGUGCCCUAUUGAGAAAGCAAAAGUUGUGAGAGCAAUUUGGGAGACUACGUGCAAGGAAUGGUUGUGUGGUAUGUUGGAAGAAGAAAGGAAGCGGGCAAUGAGACAUUUUGGUGUUAGUGAUAUUUCAAAGUGCAAAGGUUACAAUGUAGGUUGGAUACGAAUGGACAUUUGGGAUCGAUUGGUUAGUGAUGUGUGGACUACUGAUGCAAGGAAAAAUUGAUCAAUUAAUGGCAAGCGAAAUAGGAUGACUGAGAAAGAUGGAAGCAUCACCAAGCAUACCAGUGGAUCGAUCCCUUUUAUGGUUCAUGCAGAGAGGAUGGAAAAACAACUAAACCGAAAACCAACCUAUGGAGAAUUGUUCAACUGCACCCACAAACGUGAGAAAGGUCAAGGUGAUUUUGUUGAUCAUAAGUCCAAGAAUGUCAGUGAAUCUUAUACUUCUUCAAUGAGUCAAAAGUAUGGUCUUGAUGAAGCCAAUCAUCCCGAGUUUAUAC